rnacentral:rRNA from 1 species
UACGUAGGGUGCAAGCGUUGCUCGGAAUCACUGGGCGUAAAGGGUGCGUAGGCGGGUCUUUAAGUCAGGGGUGAAAUCCUGGAGCUCAACUCCAGAACUGCCUUUGAUACUGAAGAUCUUGAGUUCGGGAGAGGUGAGUGGAACUGCGAGUGUAGAGGUGAAAUUCGUAGAUAUUCGCAAGAACACCAGUGACGAAGGCGGCUCACUGGCCCGAUACUGACGCUGAGGCACGAAAGCGUGGGGAGCAAACAGG